rnacentral:rRNA from 1 species
ACGACGGGCUCCGGGCACUUGUUGUCUGAGUAGCUUGUCGUUGCCAUCCUUGGGUGGAAUCUGUGUGGCAUUUUGUUGUCGUGCAGGGGAUGCCCAUCUUUUACUGUGAAAAAAUUAAAGUGUUCAAAGCAGGCUUAUGCCGUUGAAUAUAUUAGCAUGGAAUAAUAAUAUAGGACUUUGUCGCUAUUUUGUUGGUUUGCGCGAUAAGGUAAUGAUUAAUAGGGACAGUUGGGGGUAUUCGUAUUCCAUUGUCAGAGGUGAAAUUCUUGGAUUUCUGGAAGACGAACUACUGCGAAAGCAUUUACCAAGGAUGUUUUCAUUAAUCAAGAACGAAAGUUAGGGGAUCGAAGAUGAUUAGAUACCAUCGUAGUCUUAACCAUAAACUAUGCCGACAAGGGAUUGGUGGA